UACGGAGGGUGCAAGCGUUAUCCGGAUUCACUGGGUUUAAAGGGUGCGUAGGUGGGCAGGUAAGUCAGUGGUGAAAUCCCCGAGCUUAACUUGGGAACUGCCGUUGAUACUAUCUGUCCUGAAUAUCGUGGAGGUUAGCGGAAUAUGUCAUGUAGCGGUGAAAUGCAUAGAGAUGACAUAGAACACCAAUUGCGAAGGCAGCUGGCUACACGGUAAUUGACACUGAGGCACGAAAGCGUGGGGAGCAAACAGG
rnacentral:rRNA from 1 species